UACGAAGGGGGCUAGCGUUGCUCGGAAUCACUGGGCGUAAAGCGCACGUAGGCGGCUUCUUAAGUCAGGGGUGAAAUCCUGGAGCUCAACUCCAGAACUGCCUUUGAUACUGAGGAGCUUGAGUCUGGGAGAGGUGAGUGGAACUGCGAGUGUAGAGGUGAAAUUCGUAGAUAUUCGCAAGAACACCAGUGGCGAAGGCGGCUCACUGGCCCGGUACUGACGCUGAGGUGCGAAAGCGUGGGGAGCAAACAGG
rnacentral:rRNA from 1 species